CCUACGGGGGGCAGCAGUAGGGAAUCUUCCACAAUGGGCGAAAGCCUGAUGGAGCAACGCCGCGUGGGUGAAGAAGGUCUUCGGAUCGUAAAACCCUGUUGUUAGAGAAGAACGUGCGUGAGAGUAACUGUUCACGUUUCGACGGUAUCUAACCAGAAAGCCACGGCUAACUACGUGCCAGCAGCCGCGGUAAUACGUAGGUGGCAAGCGUUAUCCGGAUUUAUUUGGCGUAAAGGGAACGCAGGCGGUCUUUUAAGUCUGAUGUGAAAGCCUUCGGCUUAACCGGAGUAGUGCAUUGGAAACUGGGAGACUUGAGUGCAGAAGAGGAGAGUGGAACUCCAUGUGUAGCGGUGAAAUGCGUAGAUAUAUGGAAGAACACCAGUGGCGAAAGCGGCUCUCUGGUCUGUAACUGACGCUGAGGUUCGAAAGCGUGGGUAGCAAACAGGAUUAGAUACCCCUGUAGUC
rnacentral:rRNA from 1 species